rnacentral:lncRNA from 1 species
AUUUGUUGAGUCGGGCUUUUUGCCGUUUGCCUCGCGCACUUUGCUCUCGGCAGUCGGCCCUGCAGGCUAGAAUUCCAUACGAUUAUUUCACAUGAAUUUUGUAUGUAGCUCUUAUAUUCCGGCUACAAUCAGAUUAGUUCAUUUAAAGAAGGAAAAAGUUUAUUUUACUCCCCCUCACCUAUUCACUUUGUCCGCUUAACCCCCUGAACAAAAUUUAGACUCACUUUACUCC